GUGAUCCGUCUGGACUCCUCACCCAGGUUUGUGGUGGUCUUUAACCCACUGGAACAGGAGCGGCUCAGUGUGGUGUCCCUGCUGGUCAACUCACCCCGAGUGCGAGUGCUUUCAGAGGAGGGUCAGCCCUUGUCUGUGCAGAUCAGUGUGCAGUGGAGCUCCGCCACCAACAUGGUCCCCGAUGUCUACCAGGUGUCAGUGCCUGUCCGCCUGCCAGCCCUGGGCCUGGGUGUGCUGCAGCUGCAGCCAGAUCUCGAUGGACCCUACACACUGCAGUCUUCGGUGCAUGUCUACCUGAACGGCGUGAAACUGUCUGUCAGCAGGCAAACAACAUUCCCUCUCCGUGUUGUGGACUCGGGCACCAGUGACUUCGCCAUCAGCAAUCGAUACAUGCAGGGGUCAGGGCUGUGUUUUUUGGCAGAGCGUCCGACGUGUGGACGAAGAGCAGGAACAGCAGGUGGACAUGAAGCUCUUCGUCUAUGGAACCCGCACAUCCAAGGAUAAGAGUGGUGCCUACCU
rnacentral:lncRNA from 1 species